rnacentral:rRNA from 1 species
GCAAGUCGAACGCGCAGCGAAAGGUGCUUGCACCUUUCAAGCGAGUGGCGAACGGGUGAGUAACACGUGGAUAACCUGCCUCAAGGCUGGGGAUAACAUUUGGAAACAGAUGCUAAUACCGAAUAAAACUUAGUAUCGCAUGAUACAAAGUUGAAAGGCGCUACGGCGUCACCUAGAGAUGGGUCCGCGGUGCAUUAGUUAGUUGGUGGGGUAAAGGCCUACCAAGACAAUGAUGCAUAGCCGAGUUGAGAGACUGAUCGGCCACAUUGGGACUGAGACACGGCCCAAACUCCUACGGGAGGCUGCAGUAGGGAAUCUUCCACAAUGGGCGAAAGCCUGAUGGAGCAACGCCGCGUGUGUGAUGAAGGCUUUAGGGUCGUAAAGCACUGUUGUAUGGGAAGAAAUGCUAGAAUAGGGAAUGAUUUUAGUUUGACGGUACCAUACCAGAAAGGGACGGCUAAAUAC